ACAUGAGUCUUCCUGAUCUCUAAGUCUUGAAGUAUGGGUCUCACCUUUAUAUACCCAAUGCCCCAUUAGAACAGGUAUUUUGAAAAGCCUUUUCAACAAUUAAUUCGUUUUGUUGUUGUUGUUGUUGUUUGUUUGUUUGACUUUGAUGGUCUGAGGGGUGAACCUAGGAUUUGUGGGUGCUAAGCCUGACCUCCACUAUGGAUGGUAGCCCCCCAGCCUAUGACAGUUCAUCUUAGAAUAAAUGGGACUGGCAAGGUCUUCCUGGAAAAACAAUGUUGCAAAUAGCAACAAUGUUGCAAAUAACAACAAUGGUGCAAAUAGCAACAAUGUUGCAAAUAGCAACAUUGAAAUAAUACAGCCCUCCCUGUAUUUACUCAGUAACACACACACACACACACACACACACACACACACACACACACACUAAGAACUGCAGGGGUUGGUUGGUUCAGUAAAUAAGAACAAUGAAUUGUUCUCCAAACAUGAAGUCCUGACUUUGAAUCUUCAACACUUUCAUUAAAAAAAAAAAAAAUGGCUAUACAUACUCCAGUAUUGGGGGCAAACAUAGGUAGAUUCCCCUUUUGCCCCCCAAAACUAAAUCCCACAUGGCAGCAUAUAUCAUAUGUGUAACUCCUGUAUUGGAAACAGACAUAGGCAGAUCCUGAGUGUUCAUGGCCCAGCCAGCCUAUAUGAAACUGCAAGCCCAGGCUCAGUGAGAGACCCUGUCUCAAGGCAGCAAGGUGCAGUGCUAGAAUGAGAUACGCUAAGGCCUGCUCUGCAGUGUGCAUGGACCAACCAAGUGCACACACAGGCACACCUGUGUGUACACACCAUUCAUGACAUGCACACACAACACUAUGGAGCCAUACUGAAUUCAUAAAUUCAGAGCUGAAGUGGGUUCUGGAUUUACAUUACCAUUAACCCCUUACAUCCAGUGGGAAGUUAGAGAGCCGUGUAGGGUGUGGGUUGCUGCAGUGACCCUGUGUACUCCGGCAUUCAGUGACCUGGAUCCUCACCCCCACUAAAUGGCAGUCAUGCCUCUCUUUGCUUAGUCUAGGGACUAAACACCACAUUCCCCUUGGGAGAGUAGCCAGGGCUCCUAAUGGUCAGGUCUGACGUUCCAUUACAGCUCUGCUGUGUGACUGCUCACGUGACUGAGCCUCUCCAGCCACUGUCCAGCCUGAGAUAAUCUGUAUCUUCGUUCCUUGCUUAAAGGCAGUUUGAGAACAUUUUCGUGGAGAGCUCUUUAAAACACCUUUUCAAUGGAGCUGGGUCUUGUUGGAGCGGCGUGGUCAUUCUCUGUCCAGAUGGCUCACCUUGCGCCUAAACAGUAUGCCCUUCAAAUGAAUAAGUAAUAAAGGCAUAUGAUACAGUGUUCCUGCUGUGCAUUCCCCAUGUUCCCUGUUCUCCCCUACACACACCCUGAGCUACUAAAAAUACCUACAGCUCUCAAAGGAUUUCCUUUCAUUGUCCAUGAGGCCCUUCCCAGCAUAGAUUCAAAUGCUUACCAGAAAGGGCCUGAUUUUCUUCAACAAAAAGAGUC
rnacentral:lncRNA from 1 species